GCGGAUGGUGCAGUGGUUAACGUACCUGCCUAGUAAGCAGGAGAUCCCGGGUUCGAAUCCCGGUCUGAAAUA